UUUUUUUUUUUUUUUUAGGGCUCUCUCCACUGCUUCAGAAUUGCCAUUUUAAGAAUUAAGGUCCAAAUUCCCAUUCCUUGAGGGAGCUUCACUCACAGAGGGUUAACAAAUAGACUAUAUUUUCACUCCUGCACAAUUUGAAAAAAAACAUAGAUUUAAAUAUUUCUUUUAAAACAAACAAAAUGUUUCUACAUCCCCAAAAUUUGUAAUAGGCUGGAAAGCACUGAGGACUAAAAACCUACUCACAGAAGCAAUCAUUUUUUCAUGCAAUUCAGCAAGUACUCAUCCAUAGAAUGUGCUCUUCCAGGCUCCAAGAUACAGUGACAUUAAAGGCCUCUCUACCUCCGUGAAGUUUACAGUCUACUGAGGACGGCAGCUAACGGCUUAUAAGUAAUCUGCUUAUAGAGAUGUCCUAUAAAGAAAUCUAUAGAAGAGAUGGCAUGAAAAAAAAAUCAGAACGGGGAACCCAGUAGCUAAUUCAACAAAAACUUAAAAUUUACCUCAGAUUUAGAUAGUAUUAUCUGAACUGCAAAACUCAAGAGAUUGUAAGUAUAAACUUGACUUAAUUGAGCUCCUACACAUGAAACUUGCAAAUUUGCUUACCACAAUUUUUUACAAUAUUGCUAACAAAAAAAUACAGACUAGAGUGCUUCUUAAACUCAUUCAAAUGAAGACUUAAAGAGGGCAACAAACCAGUAACAAAUACUUGGCUGAUAAUUCACUCUUAACACCUGAUGAACUGGAAUCCUCAAGUUUUCUUCAUUAUGCCUCUUUUAUAUCCUAUAUUUCCUGGAGCAGCCAGGCUUUCAGAGUUAACCUGGAGAAGUCCUGGGCAAAGCGGCCAGCUGUUAUCCUAUCUUCAGACUACAUUUUAGAAAUUAAUAAUGUUGAAACAGCCACCUUUUUCAAAUCAGGACCCUGCUGCAACUCUACAGAUGUUUAAUAAAAACUAAAACCAGGAACCUCCCCUACCAAUGGUCAACCAUCUCCACAAAGAAAAACAAGUUGAUAUAUACACAUAUUAACUGGGGGAAGUAGUUUUCCCCUAUAAAUUUCAUCAGUUAUUUCACUUUCACACAAAAAACCGUGAGUCAACCACAAUUCUGUAAGCAAAAAUUUGGACCACCAUUUAUUGUGAGAAAUAGUGUUUCAAAAUUAAUGUCUUUAUUUUUAUUUAUUUAUUUAUUUAUUUUUUUGCUAUUUCUUGGGCCGCUCCCACGGCAUAUGGAGGUUCCCAGGCUAGGGGUCUAAUCGGAGCUGUAGCCACUGGCCUACUCCAGAGCCACAGCAACCAACGCGGGAUCCGAGCCGCGUCUGCAACCCACACCACAGCUCAUGGCAACGCCGGAUUCUUAACCCACUGAGCGAGGCCAGGGAUCGAACCCACAACCUCAUGGUUCCUAGUCGGAUUCGUUAACCACUGCGCCACGACGGGAACUCCUUGAUACAACGUUUUAUGACUCUUUCACGCAACUUGGCUGACCAGUCUCAAAAGACUACAUGUUACAUGAUUUCACUUACAUAACAUUCUAGAAAAGACAGCAAGUGAAGCACUCAGUAGCUGCCAGCGAAGAGUGGGAGGAGGUAAGUAAAGGACAGCUUGAGGAAGUCUUCUGCAGUGACAGAGCUGUCCUAUAUCCCGGUUGUGGUUACAUAAAUAUACACCUAUAUUCAAGUUCACAGACCUGUACACACAAAAAAGUUAAUUUUGGAGUUCCCGUCAAGGCUCAGUGGUAGUGAACCCGACCAGUAUCUAUGAGGAUGCGGCUUCAGUCCCUGGCCUCAAUCAGUGGGUUAAGGAUCCAGCAUUGCUGUAAGCUGUAGUGUAGGCGGACGGCUACAGCUCCAAUUGGACCCCUAGCCUGGGAACUUCUAUAUACCUUGGGUGCAGACCUAAAAAGACAAAAAAAAUAAAGUUAAUGUUACUGUAAGAUAACCCUAAAAACUUCUUUAAAUUAGUGAUUAUUUUUUAAAUAUAUUAAUGAUCCUAUCACUUGCUAUAGUACUGCGCUAAGGCCCCUUACACUUUUUUUCUUUUUUUGGCCAUACCUGCGGCAUAUGGACGUUCCCAGGCUAGGAGUUGCAUGAGAGUUGCAGCUGCCAGCCUACACCACAGACACAGCAAUGCGGGAUCUGAGCCGUGUCUGCAACCUACACCCAGCUUGCGGCAACACUGGAUCCUUAACCUACUGAGCAAGGCUAGGAAUCAAACCUGCAUGCUCAGAGACAGCGUCUGGUUCUUAACCCACUGAGCCAAAAGAGGAACUCUCCACUUUUUAAAUACACAACCCUGUGAGAUAAAUAUCAUCCCUGUUUGAAUAAAACAAAACACAGGCUCAGAGGUUAAUUAACAUGCCCAAAACCUACUGGCCCACAAGAACAUGAUUCCAAAGGAAAUUUGCCUCCAAAGCCUAUUUAUUUUUAAAAUUUAGUAGUUGAUUUACAAUGUUCAAUUCCUGCUCUAGAGCAAAGUGACCCAGUCAUACAUAUAUACAUAUAUAUAUGUAUUAUUUUUCAUACUAUGCUCCAUCAUGUUCUAACUUAAGAGAUUGACAUAGGUUCCUGUACUUGUAUACAGCAGGACCCCACUGCUUAUCCAUUCCAAAUGUAAUAGUUUGCAUCUACCAACCUCAAACUCCCCAUCCAUCCCACGGCCCUCCCCCUCCCCAAGGCUUUUUUUUUUUUUUUUUGCUUUUUAGGGCCCCACUAAGGGUGGGAGUUGAAGCUGCCAGCCUACACCAUAGCAACACCAAAUCUGAGCCUCAUUUCCAACCUAUACCACAGUUCAGGGCAACAGCAGAUCCUUUACCCACUGAGGGAGGCCAAGGAGCGAAUCCACAUCCUCAUGGGUACUGGUCGGGUUCAUUACUGCUGAGCCACAAUAGGAACUUAACGAAGGCUGUAUUUUUAACCACUGUAAUAUCCUAGGCUCUUUCCCGUCUAUUCAUACAUGCCAACCAAUGUCUUUCCCAGUGUCAGAAAGCUAUUAAGUUUACUCACUCUAUUCCUAAUGUAACACUGCAGAUAACAUGAAAAUGUGCAGAUGAACAAAAUAUGACUCUGGAGCAGCACUGUGAACAGAACCUUCUGUGACGACAGAAAUGUUCAGUAAUAUCUGUGCUGUCCAGUACGGUGGCCUCUGACCCCACGAGGCUACUGAAGCACAAUGUGGUUAGUGUGACGUGAACUUAGGCACAUGUGGCUAGACACCAUCGAACGGGACAGCACAGCUCUAGAGAAAUAACAAGAAAGUGCAUGCCACAGAAAGAAGCAACUUAGCAACCAUGAUGGCAACUUGCCAACAGUAAAACAACUCAAGGUAGACACAUAUAUAGUCAAGGAGUAAAACUGAAAAAGGCUCCAUCUCAAACAUGUCCUAAGACCAUGUCUUAUCUUUCAAACAUCCACAACAGCCUUCAAAAUUCAGAUUCACCACCAGCUGCAUUAUACCACCACCGCCCUGCACGUGUGUACUGCAGACCAAAUUGGGUAUUAAGUGUAUAUUGUGUUCCCCACUGGACUGUGAGCAUCUGAAGAACAGAUAGGUAUUAACAUCUCCACCACCUGCAACUAUAUCCCAAGGUUUUCUACACUAUUUCGUCAUUCAGUUUUAAUGGGAGAUAGUAUUCAAUUCUGUAAGCGUCUGAGUACCAGCAGUAUGUAUGAAAGGAAGUCCUUGUAAGGAUCUUAGAGUGGGAUGGGGGAUACAUUAUACAGGUAGACAAAUAAAUAGCAAAGGAAGGAGGGUAACUACCUAAGUACGUAAACCUAGUGCUUCAGGGCAGAAUGGAACUGUCAGGUGUCCUAGUGGUAAGAGAAACUGGAACGCAGUCUAAGAAAUAAGCAGCCAUUAUUCAAUUUUGUAAAACAUGUAAGAUGGUAAAGUGUGCCCCCACCUACUACUCCGCAAAGCCUAAUGGAUUUAAAAGGAAGGAAGGAAGAGAAACAUCACAGCAGGGCCCAGAAAUUUAUCCUGACUUCACUCACAUCACCAGCGUCAGACUCACCCUGCUCCCUGUACCAGUAGGCCAAAGCUAGUCUUAGAACAAAGGCUUCUAGAUCCAAAGUUUCCACGAAAAUCUCACAGCAAAAAACAUGGUAGUUUUCCGUACACUCAAACCCUGAUUAUCUUUUAGUUAUCUACUUUUAGGUCUUGGAAACGUUAACACAGUCCAAUCUUACAGUCAGUGUAAGAGGCAGCACAUGGAGAUAAGAGUAGUUUAAAUUCAUUUAAAAGAAGUUCCCAGAGUUCCCGUCGUGGUGCAGUGGUUAACGAAUCCAACUAGGAACCAUGAGGUUGCAGGUUCAAUCCCUGGCCUUGCUCAGUGGGUUACAGAUCCGGCAUUGCCGUGAGCUGUGUUGUAGGUUGCAGACACAUCUCGGAUCCCGAGUUGCUGUGGCUCUGGAGUAGGCCAGCAGCUACAGCUCCAAUUAGACCCCUAGCCUGGGAACCUCCAUAUGCCGCGAGAGCGGCCCUAGAAAUGGCAAAAAGACAAAAAAUAAUAAUAAUUUUAAAAACAUUCAUUUCAUAAGCACAUUUUCUGUUUCCUUUAAAAAUCAUUUGGGGGCAGGGGUACUGUAUGAGGAGGCUGCAAAUUCAUAAGACAUCAAGCAUCAUCCAGAGGCCAAAAAAUAGAAAGUAUAACUACUAUCAUGUAGCAGGUUGCACACUGGAAGACUAACAAAAGUCCAACACUCUAACUUUAGAAAAGAUUGGGGUAAAAAAUCACCAGCCAAUUUUCUCAUCUCUAUCAGCACACAGAUUAUUCAUGACAAAAACAAGAGAAAAUC
ensembl:lncRNA